AGAGUUUGAUCCUGGCUCAGAUUGAACGCUGGCGGCAGGCUUAACACAUGCAAGUCGAGCGGUAGCACAGGGGAGCUUGCUCCCUGGGUGACGAGCGGCGGACGGGUGAGUAAUGUCUGGGAAACUGCCUGAUGGAGGGGGAUAACUACUGGAAACGGUAGCUAAUACCGCAUAACGUCGCAAGACCAAAGAGGGGGACCUUCGGGCCUCUUGCCAUCAGAUGUGCCCAGAUGGGAUUAGCUAGUAGGUGGGGUAAUGGCUCACCUAGGCGACGAUCCCUAGCUGGUCUGAGAGGAUGACCAGCCACACUGGAACUGAGACACGGCCCAGACUCCUACGGGAGGCAGCAGUGGGGAAUAUUGCACAAUGGGCGCAAGCCUGAUGCAGCCAUGCCGCGUGUGUGAAGAAGGCCUUCGGGUUGUAAAGCACUUUCAGCGAGGAGGAAGGUGGUGAGCUUAAUACGCUCAUCAAUUGACGUUACUCGCAGAAGAAGCACCGGCUAACUCCGUGCCAGCAGCCGCGGUAAUACGGAGGGUGCAAGCGUUAAUCGGAAUUACUGGGCGUAAAGCGCACGCAGGCGGUUUGUUAAGUCAGAUGUGAAAUCCCCGGGCUCAACCUGGGAACUGCAUUUGAAACUGGCAAGCUAGAGUCUCGUAGAGGGGGGUAGAAUUCCAGGUGUAGCGGUGAAAUGCGUAGAGAUCUGGAGGAAUACCGGUGGCGAAGGCGGCCCCCUGGACGAAGACUGACGCUCAGGUGCGAAAGCGUGNGGAGCAAACAGGAUUAGAUACCCUG
rnacentral:rRNA from 1 species